AUUGAACGCUGGCGGCAUGCCUUACACAUGCAAGUCGAACGGUAACAGGUCUUCGGAUGCUGACGAGUGGCGAACGGGUGAGUAAUACAUCGGAACGUGCCUAGUAGUGGGGGAUAACUACUCGAAAGAGUGGCUAAUACCGCAUGAGAUCUACGGAUGAAAGCAGGGGAUCGCAAGACCUUGUGCUACUAGAGCGGCCGAUGGCAGAUUAGGUAGUUGGUGGGAUAAAAGCUUACCAAGCCGACGAUCUGUAGCUGGUCUGAGAGGACGAUCAGCCACACUGGGACUGAGACACGGCCCAGACUCCUACGGGAGGCAGCAGUGGGGAAUUUUGGACAAUGGGCGCAAGCCUGAUCCAGCAAUGCCGCGUGCAGGAUGAAGGCCUUCGGGUUGUAAACUGCUUUUGUACGGAACGAAAAGCCCUGGGUUAAUACCCUGGGGUCAUGACGGUACCGUAAGAAUAAGCAC
rnacentral:rRNA from 1 species